UUCAGCUUUCUCUGCUGAAUCGUAGUCAUGAUCAUCAGAAAUGACAAAGGCAAAAGGUURUCUACCACUACCCAAAUGUACCCAUUUCCAGGCCGGUUGUCUCCAAGUCCGGCAUGAUGCCUGAGCCACGCGGAAUUCCCUAGGAGUCAAAGGUCUGUACAGGGGCUGCAUGUGUGCUUCUCGUCCCUUACAAGAGGAGGGGAAGCAGCCCGCUGAGGGCGAUGGAAACAAGUGCUUUGCCUAGUGUGGGGAAACGGUGAUGUUAAAGCCCGGGGCUGAUGUGCCUGCUUUAGCCUCUGAGAGCCUGAACAAAUGGAGCUUGCUUGGCCACGCGGGAAAGUGGGGUCUGCAAGAAGAUUCAAGCUUUACAAUUUAUGUCCCAGGGAAACGUGAAGCRAUCCCGAGGAUCAGGUACGGUGUGAUUCGCGUGACGGCUCGUGGGAUUGC
rnacentral:lncRNA from 1 species